GUCCAUCUAUCUACAUAGUACUAGUUGCAUACACAGCUCGAACGAACAAAGGAUCAAUCCAAGAUCGAUCGACCCGUCGAUAUGGAGAACGGACAGCCGCAGCCUCCUCCAGGCUACCCGACGGUGGACCCGAAACAGCAGGCCGGCGGCAGGAGGAAAUGCUGCUGCGGGCCGUGGCGCCGCAGGACCAAGCCUGCGCGUGGGCGUGGGGAGACCAGUUUCAUCGAGGGAUGCCUUGCCGCGCUCUGUUGCUGCUGGCUUUGCGAGCUGUGCUGCGAUUGAAGGGGAUACAUCAUACAUGCACCAUGCCCACGGUUACAGAUCACCAUAGGCUCUAGCUGCGGCUCUACGUCGUCGGAAAUCUUACAUAAUUAAUCCAGUCUUGCACUGUUAGAUGUUCUACGUCAUUUGUGAUCUAGUACAAUAUGCGUAGAUAUCUUGCAUCGUGUCAAGGCCCUGUAUCUUUUGUAUCAUCGAAUUAUCUGUAUUCGACAUGUACUUAUAUUCGAGGUCGUCUUGCAAUUUCGAAUCCCAGCUUUUGA